GACGAACGCUGGCGGCGUGCCUAAUACAUGCAAGUCGAGCGCAGGAAAUCGACGGAACCCUUCGGGGGGAAGUCGAUGGAAUGAGCGGCGGACGGGUGAGUAACACGUAAAGAACCUGCCCUCAGGUCUGGGAUAACCACGAGAAAUCGGGGCUAAUACCGGAUGGGUCAUCGGACCGCAUGGUCCGAGGAUGAAAGGCGCUUCGGCGUCGCCUGGGGAUGGCUUUGCGGUGCAUUAGCUAGUUGGUGGGGUAGUGGCCCACCAAGGCGACGAUGCAUAGCCGAGCUGAGAGGGGGGUCGGCCACACUGGGACUGAGACACGGCCGAGACUCCUACGGGAGGCAGCAGUAGGGAAUCUUCCACAAUGGACGAAAGUCUGAUGGAGCAACGCCGCGUGAACGAUGAAGGCCUUCGGGUCGUAAAGUUCUGUUGUAAGGGAAGAACAAGUGCCGCAGGCAAUGGCGGCACCUUGACGGUACCUUGCGAGAAAGCCACGGCUAACUACGUGCCAGCCGCCGCCGUAAGAC
rnacentral:rRNA from 1 species